rnacentral:rRNA from 1 species
GAUGAACGCUGGCGGCGUGCCUAAUACAUGCAAGUCGAGCGGACCAAAGAGAGCUUGCUCUCUGAGGUUAGCGGCGGAUGGGUGAGUAACACGUGGGUAACCUGCCUGUAAGACGGGGAUAACUUCGGGAAACCGAAGCUAAUACCGGAUGAUAAAGAGAAACGCCUGUUUCUUUUUUGAAAGUCGGCCUUGUGCUGACGCUUACAGAUGGGCCCGCGGCGCAUUAGCUAGUUGGUGAGGUAACGGCACACCAAGGCGACGAUGCGUAGCCGACCUGGGAGGGUGAUCGGCCACACUGGGACUGAGACACGGCCCAGAAUCCUACGGGAGGCGGCAGUAGGGAAUCUUCGGCAAUGGACGAAAGUCUGACCGAGCAACGCCGCGUGAGCGAUGAAGGCCUUCUGGUCGUAAAGCUCUGUUGUCAGAGAAGAACAAGUACCGGAGUAACUGCCGGUACCUUGACGGUACCUGACCAGAAAGCCACGGCUAACUACGUGCCAGCCGCCGCCGUAA